CCUACGGGAGGCAGCAGUAGGGAAUAUUGCUCAAUGGGGGAAACCCUGAAGCAGCAACGCCGCGUGGAGGAUGAAGGUUUUCGGAUUGUAAACUCCUUUUGUUAGAGAAGAUAAUGACGGUAUCUAACGAAUAAGCACCGGCUAACUCCGUGCCAGAAGCCGCGGUAAUACGGAGGGUGCAAGCGUUACUCAGAAUCACUGGGCGGAAAGAGCGCGUAGGCGGGAUAGCAAGUCAGAUGUGAAAUCCUAUGGCUUAACCAUAGAACUGCAUUUGAAACUGUUAUUCUAGAGUAUGGGAGAGGUAGGUUGAAUUCUUGGUGUAGGGGUAAAAUCCGUAGAGAUCAAGAGGAAUACUCAUUGCGAAGGCGACCUGCUAGAACAUAACUGACGCUGAUGCGCGAAAGCGUGGGGAGCAAACAGGAUUAGAUACCCCAGUAGUC
rnacentral:rRNA from 1 species